GUUCCCACCCCUGAUAGUGCAUCGUUUCUGCAAUUUAAUUGCAACGGUCUCCGAGGAAAAAUAGAUGAGAUAGUGGAUUUCAUGAAUCGGAAGAAUAUUUUGGUCGCGGCGGUGCAGGAAACCAAGCUCAAUGAAAAUUGUAGCCUACAGCGUUGUGAUGGUUACAACGUUCUGAGGAAGGAUCGCACCAGAAGUGGAGGUGGAGGCCUAGCAUUCCUUAUGCACCACUCUGUUCAAUACAGGCCUAUCUCGCUUGAGCUUGACUCUAGUGACCCAUACAUGGAAUGUAUGGGGUUAAAUGUGGUACUGCCGAGGUAGAGGUGCUUAACGUGUAUAUACCGCCGAUUAACAGCUGUGAACCGCGUUAUUUGCCCAACAUUAGUUUUCUAUUGGAGGGCAAUAACCGCCUGGUGCUAGGGGACUUCAAUGCCCACCAUGAGUUGUGGCAUUCCGUCCUAGGUAAUGACCAGAGGGGAUCAGUGCUGGCAGAGCAAAUUGAUAGCUCCACGUUUUGCACGGUAAAUGAGGAUGCCCCCACCAGAAUAAGGGGAGAGU